rnacentral:rRNA from 1 species
UACGUAGGGUGCAAGCGUUAUCCGGAAUUACUGGGCGUAAAGCGUGCGUAGGCGGAUUUUUAAGUCGAGUGUUAAAUCCACAGGCUCAACUUGUGGGCUGCAUUCGAUACUGGAAGUCUUGAGAGUGGAAGAGGCAGACGGAAUUCACGGUGGAGCGGUUAAAUGCGUAGAUAUCGUGAAGAACACCAAUGGCGAAGGCAGUCUGCUGGGCCACUUCUGACGCUAAGGCACGAAAGCGUGGGGAGCGAUCGGG